rnacentral:rRNA from 1 species
CCUACGGGUGGCAGCAGUGAGGAAUAUUGGUCAAUGGACGCGAGCCUGAACCAGCCAAGUAGCGUGAAGGAUGACUGCCCUACGGGUUGUAAACUUCUUUUAUAAAGGAAUAAAGUGAGGCACGUGAGCCUUUUUGUAUGUACUUUAAGAAGACGGAUCGGCUAACUCCGUGCCAGCAGCCGCGGUAAUACGGAGGAUCCGAGCGUUAUCCGGAUUUAUUGGGUUUAAAGGGAGCGUAGAUGGGUUGUUAAGUCAGAUGUGAAAGUUUGCGGCUCAACCGUAAAAUUGCAAUUGAUACUGGCAGUCUUGAGUACAGUUGAGGUAGGCGGAAUUCGUGGUGUAGCGGUGAAAUGCUUAGAUAUCACGAAGAACUCCGAUGGCGAAGGCAGCUUACUAAACUGCCACUGACAUUGAUGCUCGAAAGUGUGGGUAGCAAACAGGAUUAGAUACCCCUGUAGUC